GUUCGUAUAGCUCAGUUGGUUUAGAGCGUUUGCUUGACAGGCAAGAGGUCCUUGGUUCGAAUCCAAGUACGAACA
rnacentral:tRNA from 1 species